rnacentral:rRNA from 1 species
CUACGGGUCGCACCAGUGGGGAAUAUUGGACAAUGGGGGAAACCCUGAUCCAGCAAUGCCGCGUGUGUGAAGAAGGCCUGCGGGUUGUAAAGCACUUUCGGUUGGGAGGACUGCUUCUAGCACUAAUAUUGUUGGAAGUUGACGUUACCUUCAGAAGAAGCACCGGCUAACUCCGUGCCAGCAGCCGCGGUAAUACGGAGGGGGCAAGCGUUAAUCGGAAUUACUGGGCGUAAAGCGCGCGUAGGCGGCUAGAUCAGUCGGGUGUGAAAGCCCCGGGCUUAACCUGGGAACUGCAUCCGAUACUGUCUAGCUUGAGUACAGGAGAGGAGAGUGGAAUUCCACAUGUAGCGGUGACAUGCGUAGAUAUGUGGAGGAACACCAAUGGCGAAGGCAGCUCUCUGGCCUGAUACUGACGCUGAGGUGCGAAAGCGUGGGGAGCAAACAGGAUUAGAUACCCCAGUAGUC